GAAAUGCGAUAAGUAAUGUGAAUUGCAGAAUUCAGUGAAUCAUCGAAUCUUUGAACGCACAUUGCGCCCGCCGGUAUUCCGGCGGGCAUGCCUGUUCGAGCGUCAUUUCAACCCUCAAGCCCAGCUUGGUGUUGGGGCACCCGGCCGCCUGACGGCCCCGGGGCCCUCAAGUAUAUCGGCGGUCUCGUCGGGACUUUGAGCGCAGUAACUCGCGGUAAAACGCGCCUCGCUUGGUUAGUCCCCGGCGGGUUCCGGCCGCUAAGCCCCCCCUCUUUCAGAGUUGACCUCGGAUCAGGUAGGAAUACCCGCUGAACUUAA
rnacentral:misc_RNA from 1 species